GACGACCGGCCGGACACUCCUGUGCCCGGCCCACAAGUGGAGGCUCCGAUCUCCCACCUGACCGUCCCCCGGGACGGCAGGUCACCCGGUCAGGUGGCCACCAUCGUUCCGUACGGACGAUGGAGCCGCCCGAUUAGCGCCCCGCGACAUACCGCGGCGGUGCUCCGGUAGUGUUUUUGGAGCCCCGCCUGCGAAUCGUCCGGGGCAUUUUUU
rnacentral:ncRNA from 1 species